ensembl:lncRNA
CGAUUACAGAACGCUACACAGCUCAGCGCACCGGGGCUCCCUCCAACUACCCCCCCACCCCGCUCGGCUGAGAGAAGAGAAGGGGAGGGGGAGAUCGCUUCUUCGCGUCUCUCCCCUGGCAGCCCAGCUGCCGUGCAGUCUGCAAGAACACUUGAACAGAGGUAAUGGCGUUGUUUGGAUAUGGAUAGGGCUACACGGCAAUGAGAGAGGUAAAGCGCACGACUGGACCAGGACUGGAUGGACCAGGGCAACGCGGGAGGAUAUUUAUCUGAAGAGGGCAUCUGGGUCUUCGAUAUGGGAGAAUUUUGGGCAAAGGAAAGUCGUCUUGCGGAAAAACUGUUCGCUUUUCAGAGAGGGGGGAUGGGGACAUUGGACACGGCACCAUCUAUACCCCAAAUCAAUCCCUUUUCACUUAGAAAAACGCAAGAAUGCCAAAACAAUUAGUCUGGAAAGGUGUGUUUUCGUAAGGAACAUGCUCGACUACCGGCAAAUACCAGGGAUUGGUUUCAUAUUCGAAUUCUACAACAACAUAGGAACGCAGCCUAUGCGCGCGACACAACGCCGUUUGGAACGCCCCCCCAUGACAAGGAGGUGUCAGCUCCAGGGCGCGAGAUUCAAAUUUUUGCAUAAUGUGGUAUAUUUUGUAUUCUUGAGCUAAACUGCAUCCGUGCUCACUUCUCAUGUUACAUGCAAUCUGCCAGCUCUGAAUGAGUUUAAAUCCUGGAAAAUCGAACAAUUGCGUUUUCAUCCACUUUGCGUUAACAUAUAUAGAGGAGUUCCAAAUCAAUUGCAACGCUUUAUGGAAAAUAUUUUGUAAAAUAGUAAUCGGAGCUGCAAAGGAUUUAUUUUUAACAAGAAAAGGUGGGCAAUGUUCUAAAUGUGUUUCCCCUCUAUUAUAUUAUUCAUUCAUAGUUGUGAUGCAGAUUGUAGAGCUAAUUUAUUUUGUAUUCGAUCAUUUGGAUAGUCUUUGCGGAACAUAAAAUGCAUGAAAUUAUCUGCAACAAUUUAAUGUAGCAUUAUGAAAAAGCUAAUAUAACUUCUAUAGUUAGUUUGAAAAUGUAGGCUAUUUCUAUAAUAUGGACAAUUUGAGAAAGAUUAUUAUCCAGCAUUUGUAAAUUGUGUGCAUGUUAGUAAUAAAAUUAUUUACCAUACACAUAACAACGUAUGUUGUUUAGGACGCGUUUCUAUUCAAUUUGAAAUAAUUCGAUUUAUUUCACUAUGUACAUUUAAUUAUCAUUUAUUUUAAAUAUCAAACGUAGUAGAAAACUAACCAGAUAUACUAAUAAUAUAUAUAUCUCCAGAAUUGUUGUGAAAGUGCCCUUUCACUCCUGUAGGAGCCAUUGGUGCAUUGAAGGCAUCAAAUCCACAGCAAUAAAACCUUAAAAUCGAUCAAACGGGCGGGGUGAGCGCGCCUCUUUCGCCAUGUUGAAAUCCUUUGUGUAGCCUAUGUAGAUAAAGACUGUUGUUAACCAUAAACUUUUUUUUAAAAACUUCAAUACAAUCAACUAUAUCUGGUUAAACAUUAAGCAUAGUGUGACCCUGAAUUGUUUUUGAGGAUAAUAGGUUUAGAAGAUUUGAUUUCAAAAUCAACUCAUUUGACUUGAUUUUACAAUGUGUUUAUAGAUAAGACUACUUCAAUUCCACUUUAAACUCCUUUCUGAUCAUUUAUUUUCAAUGUGUGAGUGUGAUACAGUAUAAUUAAAAACCAUGACUAAGUUUGCCAAUUUUGUGUGCACAUUAGUAUGUUAAUUGAUUAAUAUCUAGUCGUUGACACUGCAUUAUUUGAUAAUGCCACAAUUUAUUUUGCAUUACAAUUAAGCCUAUAUAUGAUCUAAGAAUAAUCCAUUUUAGUAAUAUUAUUCCUUCAUUUUUAAAUGUGUUUAAAAAUAAGUUAUUGUUGUCAAGGCCACUGGAAAAUUCCAUCCUAAAGUAGAGUCUGCAAAAUAAAAAGUUAGCUACAAAAGGUUAGUGUUGAAUGAUAGUUUGUUUUUAAAUAAAAUCCUAAAUGACCAUGUUAGUGUUUAUAAACAUGACUUAAUGUGAACACAUUUAGCAAAAACAAAGAAACCUUAAUGAGUUAGAGUUUAAAGAGACUUCUCAAAAUGUAUACAACUCCUUAUUAUACAAGUAUUAUUAUUAGAAUGAUUAUAAUAAUAAUAAGGCUAUAACAAAAAAACGUUAUUUUGGAACGUCUUGCUGCACUAUCUUCUCCCAUAUCGUGUUCCCACAUACAGGCCUUUAACACAGUUUGACUGCUUGGUUUAAUCUUGGCCUAAACAAAAUUCCACCAUGCAUACUACCAUUCACAUAGAAUAAAAUACGUGUUUAUUUAUUGUCGAUUAUGAACGACAUAUAGCCUACACACACAAGUCUGCAUUAUGUGGUGUGCUUUUGAUCAACAACAAGUGGGCAUUGAGACAAAUUAGAAAUAACUCUAGCUCUUUUUUUGUCAGAACGUUUGAACGUAACGUUUUUGAGGAAUGGAAUGGAGCCUAUGGAGGCUCAAGCAGGGACCUGUGCACAGCUCUAGUGAAGUUAAUUCGAAGUGACUGCGGCGGGAGGGAGAGCUUUUGACUAUGAACAUGAUGACGGUGAUAAUAGCAAUAAUAAUAACACCGCCAGUCUGAACACAGGGCCUAACCUUAAAUAUAUUAGGAAGAGAAUAUCAACAUUUUCACGACAUUGAUCUCUUUUGAAUUAACAUUGUCCCGUGUGGCUCAGUUGGUGGAGCAUGGAAUUUGCAACGCCAGGGAUGUGGGUUCGAUUCCAACAGGGGACCAGCACGAAAGUGUAUGCACUUAAUACUGUAAAUCGCCCUGGAUAACAGCGUCUGCUAAAUUACGUAAAUGAAUAAAAAAAUCACUUGAAGAAAAGAUAACUACAAGGCAAUGUCUUCAGAAUUUCAAUAUAGGCUAUAGGACAAACCCUGAGUAUCUUAAAACAUAUAUUGUUGUUAGAUGGUUAUUGCAUGACUCUUUAGGAGCAUAAAUGCACAGAAGAAAACUGGGUGCAGCAUACGGGUGCUUCGAUGUCGCAUGUUUUACUUUUGGAUGGGGGAACUUUCCGUAGAGUUUAGCUAGCCUAACAAACAAUUCAGUCCCCUUAGAUAAGAUUGUCAGUAACAAUGGCUUAUUUGUUGAAAGAAAAAAAUAUUAUCAAAAUUCCAGUAGGCCCACAUUCAGUGUAAUAUUAAUAAUAAAUAAAAAUAAGUAUAAAUGUAAAUAUUUAUAUAAAACGUAGGCCUACAGUAAAUAUAGUAUAUCACACAUUUAGAUAUGGCUGCAAGAACACCACCCAGUUUAGAGAAAUGUAGCCUACAAUGUCCUUAUUUGUAUUUCGAGUCUUCAAAUACUUCCAAAAUGUUACACUGUGAACAUAUGUUGUUGUGCGUAAAGAUAAAACAUUAUCUCGAAUUCGUUGUAGAAUUUAAAAAAAUACAUACAUCUAAUAUGUGAGGGGAAGGGGCAAUUAUAGCGUUGAGACCUGCAGAAUCAUGUAAUGAGGUAGGGCUACUGAUCAACAACUUGGACAUGGGCAGGAAGCUAUAGCCUAUAAGCCCCUGCAUUUAACUUGCAAUCAUUUACUACAAAGGCAAAUAGAAUAUGUUUCUAAACAACUGCAUUUGUUUCACGAGAAGCACCGGUGUGAAGAAAACACUUCAAAUCAGAAAGCAAGGACUAUUCAGUCUCCGUAGAUGUAGGCUGUCCUUUGAUGGCUUGCGUUCCAAACCCCCAUUUUGUACUCUGGCCCUUUACGCACGAUGUUUUGUAAGCGGAACGCGUCUUAAAUAUUAAAGAAACCCACCAGCCUCCUGAAACAUUAUUUGUUCAUCAGGGGAUAGGCCAAGAGAGCCUUAUUUUACACAGCUUGGGGAUUUCUCCACAAAUAGGCCUAUGAGCUGCUUAUAUGGGCGUUAUACCAGCUGGCUACCAUCUCGCCUCAUACAACUGCACCAUGUUUUGUAUCACGCUCAAACUUUUGACUAGAGGUUAUGUGAUUUUAAACAAUAGUGGAGAUAGUGUGGUCCAUAGUAGAGGAUAGCAGCAGCCACGUCGAAGUAGUCAACCGAUUUCAGUUCAGAUCAUUAAGUUGCCUUAUUUGCAUAGAUAAAUCAUUAGGCUACUGUCUCUGAUAGUCUACAAUACUUCCAGUAGGCCUACUUUGCCUUGGGGACUUGGCUGCAUCAGAAUUGAUUUCUUAUUUUUCUCGACGUAGAUGAUAGGCCUGUACAGUUUUCUUAGGCAAGACAGGCCAGAACUACCAGUGGUCAAAGAUACAAGAUGCCUUCCUUCGCUACCAGUUGAUUGUUUGGUGGCCAGCAAGGCAGAGUAGCUGCCUGCCUGCAGCGGGGGAAGGGGCCUCCAUCGCGACGGGGGCUUCUCUCGCCACCCCGCUGAGUUGGGACGGGCAGAGAGCGAAUCCUCACCCUAGGCAUACUGCGCCCAGCUAAGAAAUACAAUACAACGUCAAUUAAAUGCAGUCUCCGCUGCGAUUUACUGCAAUGAAUUAUAAAUUGGUAGUCUUUCUCACAUACUAGGAUCUUUCAAAUUGCAAUAAUAGGCAAAAUCGUUAUGUAAAAUAUGCAUACAUUUUACCACAUUUAGUCUCGCUGGUAAACCAUCUCUCGCUUUUGUUGCAAAUUCCAGUCUAAAUAACCAGGUUUGUUUCAAGGCGUCAGUGUUUAAGGUCAAAUUGUUUUAUUGCUAGAUUGCUAGUUAUCCUUUUUUACCAGACGUUGGAAAAUAAAAAUGUACACAUUUGCGAAUAACAAAAUAAUUUCGUUGCUGUCGACCGUGAAAUGAGAACAGGGAAAAUAUGGUUUAGCGGUAAACAGUGUAAACAAUAAUUACAAACAGAAGGGGGAGGACGUGGCUUGACAGACAGACGACACGCAGGGCUUCAAUCCCAGGUCUGCAGGCCCAUAGGGCUGAAAGAGAAGCAAGCGGGGUCUACCUUCUAGACCUCAGGUAUUUUAGAAGUAGACCUACAUACGAUAUAAACUCGUACUUAUUUAAUGAAAUAACUUCGAUAAUGGAACAGAAUGACAUGGUUUCAUCAUUCUGUUUUCAAUCUAGUAAACUAUGGAUUUCACAAGCUGUUGUUGCAAGUAGGCUUCCAUGGAUCCAACCAUGCACAUUCAAUAGCCGUUUCUUCUAUGUGCGUAUACAUACUAGACAACUAUAAGGCUUUUCAUUUGCAGAUGUACCAUGAUAUGUUCACGUACAAGCCUUACCCAAUUACCUCGUCGGUGUAGAAAAAUGUGAUAAAACAACAACAUCGAUUCAAUGUUUCCCUCCUUCAGCCUUUCAUUUCGCAGACACAUUCAUGUUAACAGGGCGAGACGAGGCGUGUUGGGAACUGUGAAGAAAUAUUAUCAAGGUACAUUUAUUGAGGUAGCUAGAAUAUAGGACAAUUGCGCACGUGCUUCAGAAGCAUAUCUCCAUCGUGGAUCUUGGCACGUGAAGUCCAUGCCUGGUCAAGUGAUUUUACCUUCUAUUUUAAAAGUAGGACUGUUUUAUGAUUCAAUUUCAAUGGGUCAAAUGUCUGUUUUAAUCGUGUAUUUGGAGAUAAAAAUGUCGAUAUAUAGUUCAAGAUUUUUUAAAAAGUGAAUUUAGAUUAAACAAUCUAAACUCACAGCAAUAGCCUGCCACCUUUUCUAUAAUUUACACUCCUUAAAUUAACAAUGUUGAUGUUGGUAUGUACAAAUUGAUUCCCCUGUCAGUGUCAAUGCCUUUCAUGUUUUUUUUUUUUGUAUGAUUUUUAAAUCUGUAAUAUAUGAAUAAAUAUGAAAUAUGAAUUCUUGAUUUUAUGAUGUUUUCAAUUCACAUAAUACAAUUCAUCAAAUCUUUUACUAAAAUAUGAUGGGGACAGAAAGUAAUUGAAUGAUAGUCUGGACAUUUAUAUAGUAGCUAAAUAAUUUCAGGAUUUCCCAUGUAAACUGUAAAUGGGAUUGAAUUUAUUUAGGCUAUGACCAAUGUUUUGUAAGACUUGUACCUAUGGACAUGCCUCUUCUUCCCGAUCUCUUUCUUUGCAUUCCCUCUUUCUUUCUCUCAAUCUCCUCCUCAGCCGCAUGGGCCAUGGAUGAGAGGCGUUUAUACCGCUCCUCUCCUCCACCCUCCAUCCUGUAUUAAAUCCCACUACAAAUGUUUUGACAGCAAUAAAAAUUAUUUUUAAAAGAUCAGCACACGCAAAUCCUCUGUUGCUGAACCUUUAGCUCCCUGUCUCUAUCCUGCUCUCCCGUCUCUCUCCCCUCCUCCCUCCCUCUCUCUUUCUCCGGGGUGUAGGAGAGUCGGGUGUGGGGUUGUAGGGAGAAGAGCAGUGGUGCUUAUUUAAUUAGUUGUGGACCUCCCAGAGUUUCAGUAUUUCCAAUGAAUGAUCCAAUGAUCAACUAUUCUAUGCUGAUCUAUUAUAAUGUAUGGUUUGCAUUGAAAUGUGCCAAAGUCCCAUGUCAUUUUAUGUUGUUGUGUUACAAUGUAAUGUACAAUGUUAUCAUAA